AGAGUUUGAUCCUGGCUCAGAUUGAACGCUGGCGGCAUGCCUAACACAUGCAAGUCGAACGGUAGCAGGAGCUAGCUUGCUAGCUUGCUGACGAGUGGCGGACGGGUGAGUAAUACGUAGGAAUCUGCCUUGCAGCGGGGGAUAGCCCGGGGAAACUCGGAUUAAUACCGCAUACGCUCUACGGAGGAAAGUGGGCCUCUUCUUGAAAGCUCACACUGCAAGAUGAGCCUACGUCCGAUUAGCUAGUUGGUGGGGUAAAAGCCUACCAAGGCGACGAUCGGUAGCUGGUCUGAGAGGAUGAUCAGCCACACCGGGACUGAGACACGGCCCGGACUCCUACGGGAGGCAGCAGUGGGGAAUAUUGGACAAUGGGCGCAAGCCUGAUCCAGCAAUGCCGCGUGUGUGAAGAAGGCCUGCGGGUUGUAAAGCACUUUUAUCAGGAAAGAAACGGCCUGGGUUAAUACCCCAUGGCAAUUGACGGUACCUGUUGAAUAAGCACCGGCUAACUCCGUGCCAGCAGCCGCGGUAAUACGGAGGGUGCAAGCGUUAAUCGGAAUUACUGGGCGUAAAGCGUGCGUAGGCGGCCGCGUAAGUCGGAUGUGAAAGCCCCGGGCUUAACCUGGGAAUUGCAUUCGAUACUGCGUGGCUAGAGUUUGGUAGAGGUAAGUGGAAUUCCAGGUGUAGCGGUGAAAUGCGUA
rnacentral:rRNA from 1 species